GACGAACGCUGGCGGCGUGCUUAACACAUGCAAGUCGAACGGAAAGGCCUCUUUCGGGGGGUACUCUAGUGGCGAACGGGUGAGUAACACGUGAGUAACCUGCCCUUGACUUUUGGAUAACUUCAGGAAACUGGGGCUAAUACCGCAUAGGAGCUCCUGCUGCAUGGUGGGGGUUGUAAAGUUUCGGCGGUUGGGGGUGGACUCGCGGGUUUUCAGCUUUUUGGUGGGGUAGUGGCUUACCAAGGGUUUGACGGGGAGGCGGGCCGAGAGGGUGAACGGCCACAAUGGGACUGAGAUAAGGCCCAGACUCCUAAGGGAGGCAGCAGUGGGGAAUAAUGCAAAAUGGGUGGAAGCCUGAUGCAGCAACGCCGUGGGCGGGAGGACGGCCUUCGGGUUGUAAACCGCUUUCGCUCAGGACGAAGCUUUGUGUGACGGUAGUGGGUAAAGAAGCACCGGCUAACUACGUG
rnacentral:rRNA from 1 species